GGGCGCUCUAUGGGGCCGUUCCCAUCACACCCAGUACACAGGCACAGCACUGCACAGGAUGUUGAUGGUGGUGUUAUGGGGCUGUUAUGGGGUGCUAUGGGUUGUUCUAUGGGGUGCUCUAUGGGGCGAUGUUGUUAUGGGGUUGUUAUGGGGUGUUAUGGGGUGAUCUAUGGGGCGCUCUAUGGGGCUGUCCCAUUACACCCAGUAUAUGGGCACGGUGCUGUACAGGAUGUUGAUGGUUGUUAUGGGGUUGUUAUGGGGCGCUAUGGGUUGUUCUAUGGGGCGCUCUAUGGGGUGAUGUUGUUAUGGGGUUGUUAUAGGGUUGUUAUGGGGCGCUCUAUGGGGCUGUCCCAUCACACCCAGUAUAUGGGCACGGUGCUGCACAGGAUGUUGAUGGUUGUUAUGGGGUUGUUAUGGGGUUGUUAUAGGGUUGUUAUGGGGUGCUCUAUGGGGUGAUGUUGUUAUGGGGUUGUUAUGGGGUGUUAUGGGGCGCUCUAUGGGGCCGUUCCCAUUACACCCAGUAUAUGGGCACGGUGCUGCACAGGAUGUUGAUGGUGUUGUUAUGGGGCUGUUAUGGGGUGCUAUGGGUUGUUCUAUGGGGUGCUAUGGGGUUGUUAUAGGGUUGUUAUGGGGGUGUUAUGGGUUGUUCUAUGGGGUGCUCUAUGGGGUGAUGUUGUUAUGGGGUGUUAUGGGGCGCUCUAUGGGGCUGUCCCAUUAUACCCAGUACACAGGCACAGCACUGCACAGGAUAUUGAUGGUGUUAUGGGGUUGUUAUGGGGUGUUAUGGGUUGUUCUAUGGGGUGCUCUAUGGGGCGAUGGUGUUAUGGGGUUGUUAUGGGGCGCUCUAUGGGGCUGUCCCAUUACACCCAGUACACAGGCACAGCACUGCACAGGAUGUUGAUGGUGGUGUUAUGGGGUUGUUAUGGGGUGCUAUGGGUUGUUCUAUGGGGUGCUAUGGGGUUGUUAUAGGGUUGUUAUGGGGUUGUUAUGGGGUUGUUAUGGGGCGCUCUAUGGGGCCGUUCCCAUUACACCCAGUAUAUGGGCACGGUGCUGCACAGGAUGUUGGUGGUGUUAUGGGGUUGUUAUGGGGUGUUAUGGGGCACUCUAUGGGGUGCUCUAUGGGGUGAUGUUGUUAUGGGGUUGUUAUGGGGCGCUCUAUGGGGCUGUCCCAUUACACCCAGUAUAUGGGCACGGUGCUGCACAGGAUGUUGGUGGUGGUGCCCAAAAUGGAGCGAUCAGAGACGGGGGGAGAUGGAACCGACUGCGGGGGGAGAUGGGGGUUAAUAUGGGAUGGAUGGGGGUUAAUAUUAUGGGAUGGAUGGGGGUUAAUAUGGGAUGGAUGGGGGUUAAUAUGGGAUGGAUGGGGGUUAAUAUUAUGGGAUGGAUGGGGGUUAAUAUGGGAUGGAUGGGGGUUAAUAUUAUGGGAUGGAUGGGAUAUUAUGGGAUAAAUGGGAUGGGAUGGGGUUGGGGUAUGGGGUUGGAUGGGAUGGAUGGGAUAAAUGAGAUGGGAUGGGGAUGGGAUGAGAAGGGGGAGGAUAUGGGGUUGGGAUAGGAUGGGAUGAAUGGGAUGGGAUGGGAUGGGAUGGGAUGGGAUGGAUGGGAUAUUAUGGGAUGGGGUGGUAUGGGAUGGGGUUGAUGGGAUGGGAUAUUAUGGGAUGGAAUGGGAUGGAUGGGAUGGGAUGGGGAUGUGAUGGAUGAGAUGAUGUGGGGUUAGGAUAUAGGGUUGGGAUGGGAUGGAUGGGAUGGAGAUGGGAUAUAGGGUUGGGAUGGGAUGGAGAUGGGGAUGGGGUUGGGGUUGGAUGGGAUGGGAUGGGGAUGGGGUUGGGGUGGAUGGGGUUUAAUAUAAUGGGAUGGGAUGGAGAUGUAUGGGAUAUUAUGGGAUGGGAUGGAUGAGAUGGGAUGGGAUGGAUGGAUGGGAUGGUAUGGAUGGGUUGGGAUGGAUGGAGAUGGGAUGGGAUGGAGAUGAAUGGGAUGGGAUGGUGUGGGGUUGGGAUAUGGGGUUGGGAUGGGAUAUGGGAUGGGAUGGGAUGGGGAUGGGAUAUUAUGGGAUGGGAUGGGAUGGGAUGGGAUAGGAUGGGAUAUGGGAUAUGGGAUGGGAUGGGGAUGGGAUGGGAUGGGACACGAUGGGAUGGGAAUGAGAUGGAUGGGGUGGGGUGGGGUGGGGUUGGGAUGGGAUGGGAUGGAUGGGGGUUAAUAUUAUGGGAUGGGAUGGAUGAGAUGGGAUAUUAUGGGAUGUAUGGGCUGAGAUGUAUGGGGUGGGAUGGAAUAGAAUAGGGAUGGGAUGUAUGGGAUGGGAUGGGAUGGGACAUAAUGGGAUGGGAUAUUAUGGGAUGGGAUGGGAUGGGAUGGGAUGGGAUGUGAUGUAUGGGAUGGAUGUGAUAUUAUGUGAUGGAUGGGCUGUGAUAGGUGCUGUGUUGCUGUGUGUCCCGGUCCCGGUUCGGUCCGUCCCGUUUCUCACCCGGCUGUUCUGGAAUCGCUCCGUCACAUCGUCCAGCCCCGGCAGCUCCGCCCCGUCCACGCGGGACACGAGACACGAGCGGCGCCGCCACGAC
ensembl:lncRNA